UACGGAGGAUGCAAGCGUUAUCCGGAUUCAUUGGGUUUAAAGGGUGCGUAGGCUGGCUAUUAAGUCAGUGGUGAAAUCCUGCAGCUUAACUGCAGAACUGCCGUUGAUACUGAUAGUCUUGAGUUUGGUUAAGGUAGGCGGAAUGUGUAAUGUAGCGGUGAAAUGCUUAGAUAUUACACAGAACACCAAUUGCGUAGGCAGCUUACUGAGCCGACACUGACGCUGAGGCACGAAAGCGUGGGGAUCGAACAGGA
rnacentral:rRNA from 1 species